GAGCGCAACCCUCGACCUUAGUUGCCAGCAUUCAGUUGGGCACUCUAAGGUGACUGCCGGCUAAAAGUCGGAGGAAGGUGGGGAUGACGUCAAAUCAUCAUGCCCCUUAUGACCUGGGCUACACACGUGCUACAAUGGGCGGUACAAAGGGUCGCGAACCCGCGAGGGGGAGCCAAUCCCAAAAAGCCGCUCUCAGUUCGGAUUGCAGGCUGCAACUCGCCUGCAUGAAGCCGGAAUCGCUAGUAAUCGCGGAUCAGCAUGCCGCGGUGAAUACGUUCCCGGGCCUU
rnacentral:rRNA from 1 species